rnacentral:rRNA from 1 species
UACGGAGGGAGCUAGCGUUGUUCGGAAUUACUGGGCGUAAAGCGCGCGUAGGCGGCUUUGUAAGUUAGAGGUGAAAGCUCGGAGCUCAACUCCGGAACUGCCUUUAAGACUGCAUCGCUUGAAUCCAGGAGAGGUGAGUGGAAUUCCGAGUGUAGAGGUGAAAUUCGUAGAUAUUCGGAAGAACACCAGUGGCGAAGGCGGCUCACUGGACUGGUAUUGACGCUGAGGUGCGAAAGCGUGGGGAGCAAACAGG